rnacentral:rRNA from 1 species
UACAGAGGGGGCAAGGCGUUAUUCGGAAUUAUUGGGCGUAAAGGGCGCGUAGGCGGCUUGGCAAGUGGAUGGUGAAAUCCCUCGGCUUAACCGAGGAACUGCCGUCCAAACUGCUUCGCUUGAGACCGGGAGAGGUGAGUGGAAUUCCCAGUGUAGCGGUGAAAUGCGUAGAUAUUGCUCGGAAGGCCGGAGCCGAAGGGGCCCCACUGGUACGUAACUGACGCUGAGGCACGAAAGCGUGGGGAGCAAACAGGG